rnacentral:rRNA from 1 species
GAGUUUGAUCAUGGCUCAGAUUGAACGCUGGCGGCAUGCUUUACACAUGCAAGUCGAACGCGAAAGGGGGCAACCCUGAGUAGAGUGGCGCACGGGUGAGUAAUGCAUCGGAACGUGUCCUGUAGCGGGGGAUAACUUAGCGAAAGCUAAGCUAAUACCGCAUACGUCCUACGGGAGAAAGUGGGGGAUCGCAAGACCUCACACUAUAGGAGCGGCCGAUGCCGGAUUAGCUAGUUGGUGGGGUAAAGGCUCACCAAGGCGACGAUCCGUAGCUGGUCUGAGAGGAUGAUCAGCCACACUGGGACUGAGACACGGCCCAGACUCCUACGGGAGGCAGCAGUGGGGAAUUUUGGACAAUGGGGGAAACCCUGAUCCAGCCAUGCCGCGUGAGUGAAGAAGGCCUUCGGUUGUAAG